rnacentral:rRNA from 1 species
GGUAUAGUUCUUCGGAACUAGAGACCGGCGCACGGGUGCGUAACGCGUAUGCAAUCUACCUUUUACAGAGGGAUAGCCCAGAGAAAUUUGGAUUAAUACCUCAUAGCAUAGCAAUCUCGCAUGAGAUCACUAUUAAAGUCACAACGGUAAAAGAUGAGCAUGCGUCCCAUUAGCUAGUUGGUAAGGUAACGGCUUACCAAGGCUACGAUGGGUAGGGGUCCUGAGAGGGAGAUCCCCCACACUGGUACUGAGACACGGACCAGACUCCUACGGGAGGCAGCAGUGAGGAAUAUUGGACAAUGGGCGCAAGCCUGAUCCAGCCAUGCCGCGUGCAGGAUGACGGUCCUAUGGAUUGUAAACUGCUUUUAUACGAGAAGAAACACUCCAACGUGUUGGAGCUUGACGGUAUCGUAAGAAUAAGGAUCGGCUAACUCCGUGCCAGCAGCCGCGGUAAUACGGAGGAUCCAAGCGUUAUCCGGAAUCAUUGGGUUUAAAGGGUCCGUAGGGCGGUUUAGUAAGUCAGUGGUGAAAGCCCAUCGCUCAACGGUGGAACGGCCAUUGAUACUGCUAAACUUGAAUUAUUAGGAAGUAACUAGAAUAUGUAGUGUAGCGGUGAAAUGCUUAGAGAUUACAUGGAAUACCAAUUGCGAAGGCAGGUUACUACUAAUGGAUUGACGCUGAUGGACGAAAGCGUGGGUAGCGAACAGGAUUAGAUACCCUGGUAGUCCACGCCGUAAACGAUGGAUACUAGCUGUUGGGAGCAAUCUCAGUGGCUAAGCGAAAGUGAUAAGUAUCCCACCUGGGGAGUACGUUCGCAAGAAUGAAACUCAAAGGAAUUGACGGGGGCCCGCACAAGCGGUGGAGCAUGUGGUUUAAUUCGAUGAUACGCGAGGAACCUUACCAAGGCUUAAAUGUAGAUUGACCGGUUUGGAAACAGAUCUUUCGCAAGACAAUUUACAAGGUGCUGCAUGGUUGUCGUCAGCUCGUGCCGUGAGGUGUCAGGUUAAGUCCUAUAACGAGCGCAACCCCUGUUGUUAGUUGCCAGCGAGUCAUGUCGGGAACUCUAACAAGACUGCCAGUGCAAACUGUGAGGAAGGUGGGGAUGACGUCAAAUCAUCACGGCCCUUACGCCUUGGGC